rnacentral:tRNA from 1 species
UAAAAGAUAAGCUAAAUAUAAGCUAUUGGGCUCAUACCCCGCUAAUGAAUAUUUCUCUUUUAA